ACGGACGGAAGCGGAAGUGGCGGCGUGCGUGCGGCAGUGGAGACGGCGGCGGCGGUGGCUGGCGUCAGGCUGUGGACGAAGAGGCGGCCUCGGUGGUAAGUGGCGGCCGCUGGGACCCAGCCAGGUACCGGUCCGGCUCGGCCCUGCCCCUUUCCGGCCGCUCUCACUCCUUCCCUCGGCCUCGAGUUCCUCGUAGGCCCGUGGGGGCCGCCGCGGGGUCGGGGCUGCGAGGCAGCGCCCGCCGUUCCAUGGUAAGCGGUGCUACGGGACGUUCGGAAGGAAACCUCGCUAGAGCAGGGGACGCCUGGGCUCCUGGCUGACCACGGGGCCUUUGCACGGCCAGGGCUUUGCGACCGCAGUGUCUUCCUUCUGUCCCCGGUCGUGCGCCGUGCCCCUCAGCGCGGCUCACGUUUCGGAACACGUCUGCCUUUCAUGCCUCCCGAAGAGCCUCCCCGCAUCCCGUGCCCCCUGCUCGCUGCUGCCGCUGACCCUUGGGCGCUGCGCUGGUCCAGAGCGUGUUGUCCUCUGACGCCGUCAGAACCUGAGCUCCCUGCGAGCUGGGACUCCGCCGUGUCUUCAUUGCCUCCAGUGCAAAGCAACUGCUUGCAAGAGAACAAAAGUGUGUUCAGGUGCACAGAGUAGAAAAUUCAAGGAGCCUGAAAGGGUAUUUGGUGAAGACUUGAUGUGUUUUUCCCAGUCCUAACCUCCAAGGCCCAGUUCUCCCCUGGGGCAGAGGGAAACCCGUUUCUUACGGGUCUGCAAAGAAAGUCUAUGCAGGAACAUCUACGUGCGUUUCUGCAAAAGGUCAGUUACUUUACUUGGGGCUCUUAUACUUAACGUAGCUCGGAGAGCGCCCCAUGCAUUCAGAUACAGGUGGGAUUCCUCCGGAAACGGAGUUUUAUAGCACCAGACUUUAUCCCCUUUCCUGUAGAAAUUUAGGGUUUUUGCUGUCUUUUAUAACGAACAAUGCUAGCUUGACUAUUGCUUGUACAAACCGUUUUUUGCCCAAGUCGGACUAUUUUCUUAGGUUAAAUUCCUUGGUGCAGAAGUGCGAGGGCUGUAUUUAGGCCCCUAAAGGGGUGGUACCAAAUCGCCCUCCCCCACCAGCAUAAGAGGGGGCCGGCGACACCCUUGCCCAAGCUGGAUUUUGCAGACCUGGUAGGCGUGAGAUAGUAUUUCACUGUAGCUUGUGUUUCCUGUAAGUAUAGUCGAACGUCGUGAUGUUCCUGUUACAUCUAUGUUACGUUGAUCAUUGUUACCACUGACAGUCGUUUCGAGAUUGGAAAAUAUGUUUAUUAUAAACGUUUGACUAUUUAAAAGCCAUUUGUAUUUUAUCUUCUUGGCUCAUUUUUCUGUUGGGUGGAUGGUGGUGGUUUCUAGGUGCACUUUACAGAUUAAGAAAAUUCGCUUUCUGUCUAGUAGAAGUGUUUUUUUUUUUUUUUUUUUUUUUUUUUUUUUGGGACUCUGACACAUUUAUUGCUGAAUACCAUUUCUCGGCUGACCCGGAAGUGUUUCUUUUUUCUAUCUGUCAUUAGUCUUUGACUUUGUUUGUAUUUUUUUCUUUAAGCUAAGCAUCUAAAAUUGUUACUGGUCAUUAGUUUUUUUCUCUUUACGGCUCCUGCAUUUUUGUGUCAUCUCAGGAAUAUCUUCUCCGCUGUAAGAUCAUAAAACAUUUGAGAUUUUCUUCUA
rnacentral:lncRNA from 1 species